GCAGGAAGAGGAAGGUGCGGAGCGCCGCGGACACUCACCUCCGCCCCACCGCCGCAAACCGUGGCUGCCGCCUCUGACGGCCUCUGCCUCCACUGACAGGGAACAGCUGCGGUCUCCGCGCAACCGAACUUGCUGCAGCGCCGGCCCCGCCCAUCAGACUUCCUAUUGGUUGAGGCAGCCCAGCCCCUCCUAGGAUUGGAUGAACGGGUCUAUCAUUCACCGCUCCCCCUUUCAGGACUCCUCCCUGCACCCUCCUACCCCUCUGGUUUAAGCGUUGGCGCCUCACAUCGGCCCCGCCCCUCGCGUCUCAGGAGGACCUGCUGAUUGGCGGAGAGGCGUGGAGAGCCCACCCCCUACGCGCCACCGCCUACACCCUUUUCUCGUAAGCCUCACGUGGGCCGUCUGGCGUGGCCCGGGCCCGCAAUAGGCGGAAGUGGUCCGGCUUCAGCUCAUCCUGAUUGGCUGUGGCGGGGGUGGGGACGUGCGAUUCAUUCACGGGGGGUAGCACGUGUCUCUUGAAACCGCAAUCAUAACAGAUGCACGGGGAUUGGGGCCGCGCCGCCAGACGCAGGUAGACGUUAGCGGAUAGAGAAGAGGUCGCAGGAAAGCGUUAGCGAAGGGCAUGAGGAAGGAGAAAGCGCCGGUACCACUCGCGGUUGCGUGUCUGCAUCCUUUAGUAGCUGCGUGAGUGGGGUUGAUGGUCAGGAGCCUGCCUCUUUGUGACCUUGGAGCAGCAGCUUCACGUCUCUGAGCUCCGUUCCCUAAUCUGUAAAGCUGGGCGGCUCAGAAUCUUAAAUGUUAACUUUCUAGAAGGUUCGGUUAGCUAACGAAAGGAAAGCUUCAUAAUUUGGGCUCAGUGCCAAACCAGGAGUGAGAAGUCACCAAAGCAAAAGUCCUGCCUUCCAAUGACAGGAGACCAGACAGUAAACACAAUCUAUAGUCCAUCAUCAUUCAAGGCCAAGAAGAGAAAAAUAAACCACUUCCUGACAGGACAAUCAAGAAUUAUGAGAACAUCGUGUUAAACAGUAAUUGCUUAUUGACUCUGAUUCUGCUGUGUAGAGCUUGCCACUGGGCUGCUGCGCAAGCUGGCACAGCAGGUGAGGAGAAGGUGGAAGAGCUUUGUGGCCAGCUUCCCUAGUGUGACCCUGAAUCGACCAACCUCCCCAGAGACCUUGUUGGACACCAACAGCUAGAGCUGCUGUGAUCGUCCCUCACGCCACCGGCUGGACUCCUGUGUUUCCUCAUCUGCUUCUUAAUGGCUUUCUGUACUCUGAACUGCUCCGGCCUUUGUCAUGUGACCGCGAAGGCCUCUGUCACUAGAUCACUCAAGGCCUUGUGUGGCUGCCCUUCUUGGUUUUGGCAGCUAGCUCUUAACAAAGACCUCUCUAGAGCUGAGGAGAAGGCACUCAGCUCUCUGCCUCCUGGGCUGACAGGUAUGAAGGUCUUAGGGACCUAGAGAGAAAUGAGAGUAUCAACAACACUCUUGACCCUACACAGACCAGCCACCCACUUCUAGGACAGAGUUCAGUGAAGCCAAAAGCGGCUGAGAAUUUCUUGAAUAUCGCCUGCUCACAGGACCAAGCUCCACCUUGGUCCGCUAGUGACAAGCCAAGACCCCCGAUGUCCCUCACAGACAGUGAGCCUCCGAAGGCUAGGACCGUGUCUGGACUGUCCUCACUAUGGCUGCUGUAUGCCUGAGAAGCCCACACAUGCACAUUGCUGCCUUGGGCCUCAUUGUAUCCUGAUGAAGGAAGCAGGGAAGUCUUCCCUCCCUGUGUGACAGAGGGUAACAGAGGCCCAGAGAAGGGAAGAGACCUUCUGCCUACACACCCCCCCCCCAGUACCUGACACUGGGGUUGAACACAUUAAUAAAGCCACUGAACUGAGGAAAUAAUUUGCCUAGUGACUAACACGUAGGCUCUGAACCUCUCCCAACUCCUGUGAAGCAGGAGUCCAGAGUCCAAGGUCUCACUCUGAGAGGGCAAAGGGAUCUCCUAGGGCCACACAGGGAGGGGGUCUGAGCUCUUUGAAAGGUAUCAGGCCUUCUGGUGGGUCCUCUGAGUUCUUCAGGUUCCAGCCUGAUGUCUUGGCACAGGGUCCACUGAGGGCUUGGCUAGGUCCAGGAGAUACAGUGAUAGGCUCCUUGUUUUCUCAGAGCUUAGAAACCUGGCAAGACUAACCAAGCACAAAAGAGGUCCUGGGCAAUAUGUGUCCUUGGCAGCCAUUGGGAACUUGGCCUAGAAGCUAGA